AUGGCCGGCAGGAAGGGCGUCGCGAGGAAGAAGGCGGUGACCCGCUCCGUCAGGGCCGGACUCCAGUUCCCCGUCGGCCGGAUCGGGCGCUACCUCAAGAAGGGCCGCUACGCGCAGCGCGUCGGCUCCGGCGCCCCCGUCUACCUCGCCGCCGUCCUCGAGUACCUCGCCGCCGAGGUCCUGGAGCUCGCUGGCGACGCGGCCAAGGAAACCAAGAAGGCCCGCAUCAUCCCGCGCCACCUGAUGAUCGCGGUCCAGGGCGACCCUGAGCUCAGCCGGCUGCUCGCCGGCGUCACCAUCGCCUACGGCGGCGUGGUGCCCUACAUCAACUCCGCGCUGCUCCCCAAGAACGGCGCCGGCGCCGCCGGGAAGGAGUCCAAGAAGAAGGCCGCCGCUACCAAGUCCCCCAAGAAGGCCGCAGCCACAAAUUAA
rnacentral:rRNA from 1 species